CUUUAGCCCAGAUAGGAGCGGCAUCCUUUUUUUAUUUUACUCUGUCAGGGUUUUGAACCCUGACAGAGUAAAAUAAAAAAAGAUAUAGCGGAUAGCUGGAAACCCU
rnacentral:sRNA from 2 species